GUUACUUCAACACCACAUACCCAACAUCCCGUUACUGUUCAGCCUACAUCACAUCCUGCCACUGCAAAGUCCCCAAUCACAGUUCAGCCAUGCCAGAAGUUGGAAACCUUGAUAGCCCUGGCCCAUAAUUCCUACCUCGUAGACAAUGCUGUCCCGUGUCCUUCCGGUGGUCAUUCAAAGGCCGAGGCGACUGUCGUGGACCUAUGUCAAGCACCUGCAUCUAUUUCAUGGCGAAAGGGUUAUAAUGUAUUGCACCACUGUCAUGAUAUACCACAGUACACAGCUGUAGCAUCAUUUGCUGGAAAUCUCUACCAUGGUGAUGGCGUAUCUGGAAUUCUCAUCUCGUGCAACACUACGUCACUGAGGAUAGCGACCGAGCGGUGCGAUCAUCCCAUAGAGGUUGUUACUGUCGUGACUGGGGCACGAGACCAGUAUACACAUAUGGCAGAUAACUAUUACACGAUACA